GCCUGGGUGGCUCAGUCGGUUGAGCGUCCGACUUCCACUCGGGUCACGAUCUCACGGUGCGUGAGUUCGAGCCCCGCGUCAGGCU
rnacentral:tRNA from 1 species